GCCUCGGUGGUUCAGUGGUAGAACGUCGACCUAUGAACCUGGAGGUCACGGUUCGAUUCCAUGUCAGGGCA
rfam:Myotis lucifugus cont2.15454, whole genome shotgun sequence.